GACGCGGUGGCCUAAUGGUUAGCGCGUUGGACUCCGGAUCGAGCAGCCUGGGUUCGAGCGCUGACCGGGUCA